GAAUAUACACGUAGGAGAAACUUGAGAGCCAAUAUUAGUGCUGAAGGAUUACUCUGAUUGCUGAUCUAUGUUGUCGCGGCAACACAGGCCAAUACACAUUCAGGAAAUAUGUGACCAGCUUCCCCAAGGUCCCGCAUCGUCUACUCAGUAAGCCAAGGUGGAGGUUGGGAAACAAAGAACUUGCCCGACUGUGGAAAUGGGCAGAACUAAACCCUGUAUGUUUUAGCUAGAACUUCCCACUAUUGUCCUAUUUGAAGGAGCAGCAAUGCAUUAAGCGCAAAAAAUACGUCAGUUGGGCCUUUUUUUUGUCUUACUGUCCAAUUUUACUUCUAUAUACAAAUGUUAAAAGAGUCUGAGUGGGGACACUCUAUUUGGAAAGGGAUUUUGUACAGUUUUUCUGCAAGUUACUACCUCAUUAGUGGACUGGCCUGCAUAGUAUUCAUAAAAAUUAAUCAUCCAAUUCCCUGUAUGUGUCCUUGGUCACAUUUCUUGUUUGUUCAAUUUUUGGAAACCCACAUCUUAUUUGAAUUGAAACUGCUGAGUGCUUUGACUGAUCCUGACCGAGUCCACACACCAUCACUUACAGAAUACUGGAAGCCACUUGCAGAAGAUGUAAACCCUUUACCUUUUCUUUCAUAGUUACUCCCUCCGUCCCAAAAUAAGUGACUCAACUUUGUACUAGCUUUAGUACAAAGUUGAAUCACUUAUUUGGGACGGAGGGAGUACUUUGCACCAAUGGUUCUAAUACUGGGUUUUCAAGAUAAACUUGCAGAUGGACACAUCUGCCAGAGAGACGGCGGCCAUGAGAGCCGGAAGAUCACAAGAGAUUGACCUUUUUGGUGGUCUAAUACUUCCUAUAUGGGCACAUAGAAAAGCCACUACGUAAGUAGUUCAGUAUUUUCUUUAAAAACUGCUUUCUCUUACUACACAACCAGGCUCAAUUCAUACGUAUGUAAAUUUUACAUCAUACUUCUUCCCUUCCCAAAACAAGGGUAUUAUUUCUCUCCUUCCUAAAUCAGUGUUUCGGACCUUUUUUGAGUUGAGAAUCUCACCUGCAGCACAUCAAUUGUCUGUAAAUAAAUGUAACGUGAAUCACUCUCCAAAAUCCUUGAAACUUGAGCUUAGACGAAUAUGAAGGUCUUUGUGUUGGCAUACACUCCUUUAUUCCAAAUGGUGCUGAUAUAAAAACACCAUCAGGGAUUCCAUGUGUACCAUGUAUGUCCAUAAAAACAGCGUUGAUAUAUCAGCAUACUAACGUGUUGAUCUAAAAACGUUUUUUUCUAAGUGACGUUUCGAGUCGGUAAAUUAGUGGGGUGUUCAGGCAUUUUUGUUCACGCAUUUUCUAAGUGGCCUUUCUUAAGGGUGUUCAGGCAUUUUUGUCCUUCUGUAAAUUAGUGGCAUUAAAUUAGUGGUCUUCUAUUCGUGUUGCGAACCCCAAUAUGGCAUCUCACCAUUCCCCACGAUCCACAUGUUAACUGUGGAUUUAUUUAAUGAUAAUAGGAUAUCAAUUGCCUUUUCUUCAGGAUAAGCCGACACCUAAUAAGGAUCAGGAGAACAACAGAUAUGCUAAGAGACAACCUUUUGGGGUUAAGGAUAUAAACAACAACAGGGCUUAUGAGGCCGAAGAGAGCUUGAGUGGCGUCUUUUGCUUCUUGAAGACCUGCAUAUUCCUGGUGGAGUAGAGAAAAAUAAUUUGGAGGCUUUAAAGCUACUGCACUUCAUGUAGUUAGGAUCAAUUCUUUGUUUUAGUUUGAAAUAUUCCACAUUUCCUCCUAUUUGAUUGAUUCAUCUGAUGGACAUUUUGUCAGGCAAAUAAACAAAAGGCAUAUGUAUUAUUACGAGUGAAGCCAUCCAUACUCCCAUGUGGAAUUCAAGAAAUAGAGAAAUGUUAUUGUUCUUCUACUAAUUGUUUGCUUGGCCAAAUGUACUGUAAAUGAUUUAUUAUUGUUCAAGGUAUAGAGAAAUGUUAUUGUUCUUCA